UACAGAGGUCUCAAGCGUUGUUCGGAUUCAUUGGGCGUAAAGGGUGCGUAGGCGGCGCGGUAAGUCGAGUGUGAAAUCCCUUGGCUUAACUGAGGAAUGGCGCUCGAAACUACCUCGCUGGAGGGCGGGAGAGGGAAGUGGAACUCUCGGUGUAGGGGUGAAAUCUGUAGAUAUCGAGAGGAACACCGGUGGCGAAGGCGGCUUCCUGGCCCGUACCUGACGCUGAGGCGCGAAAGCGUGGGGAGCAAACAGG
rnacentral:rRNA from 1 species